rnacentral:rRNA from 1 species
ACACCAGCACCUCAAGUGGUCAGGAGGUUUAUUGGGCCUAAAGCAUCCGUAGCCUGUUCUGUAAGUUUUCGGUUAAAUCCAUUAGCUCAACUAAUGGGCUGCCGAAAAUACUGUAGAACUAGGGAGUGGGAGAGGUAGACGGUAUUCGGUAGGAAGGGGUAAAAUCCUUUGAUCUAUUGAGGACCACCUGUGGCGAAGGCGGUCUACCAGAACACGUUCGACGGUGAGGGAUGAAAGCUGGGGGAGCAAACCGGAUUAGAAACCCCGGUAGUCC